rnacentral:tRNA from 1 species
GGGGAUAUGGCGAAAUUGGUAGACGCUGCGGACUUAAAAUCCGUUGACUUUAAAAAUCGUGAGGGUUCAAGUCCCUUUAUCCCCA